GGAGCGUGUGUGCGCGAGAGCGGCGGGCAGCAGCGGGAGGAGGCGCAGGCGCGCUGCUCGCCGGUCUGCAGCCCGGCGCCGAGCGCCGCGUCUCGGGGAGUUGAUGGCAGCACCACAGUGCGGCCGCCCGGCGGAGCGCGGUGCACUGCCACCCGCGGUUGCCCAGGGAGCGUCCAAGAUGUGGAGGGAUCCGGGCGGCAGCGGCCGCAGCGGCGCCGGGGAUGAGGGCGCGCAGCAGCCUCCCCUCGUCCGCCUGUGCUGACCUGCCUCGUUUGGCCCCAAAGAAUGUCAGCCAAGUCCAAGGGGACCCCCUCCUCGUCCUCUCCUGCCGAGGGACCGCCGGCAGCCUCCAAAACCAAGGUGAAGGAGCAGAUCAAGAUCAUCGUGGAGGAUCUGGAAUUAGUCCUGGGCGACCUGAAGGACGUGGCCAAGGAACUUAAGGAGGUGGUUGACCAGAUUGAUACCCUGACCUCUGACCUACAGCUGGAGGAUGAGAUGACCGACAGCUCCAAAACAGACACCCUGAACAGUAGCUCCAGCGGCACGACAGCCUCCAGCAUAGAGAAGAUCAAAGUGCAGGCCAACGCACCUCUGAUUAAGCCGCCGGCACACCCUUCUGCCAUCCUCACGGUUCUGAGGAAGCCAAACCCUCCACCACCUCCUCCACGGUUGACACCUGUGAAGUGUGAAGACCCCAAAAAGGUGGUGCCAGCUGCCAAUCCUGUUAAGACCAAUGGCACCCUUUUACGAAACGGAGGCGUACCGGGGGCACCAAACAAAAUCCCCAAUGGAGACAUCUGCUGCAUACCCGGUAGUAAUUUGGACAAGGCUCCAGUGCAGCCUCUGAUGCAUAGACCUGAAAAAGACAGGUGUUCCCAGGCAGGGCCUCGGGAGCGCGUGCGGUUUAAUGAAAAAGUGCAGUACCAUGGCUAUUGUCCUGACUGUGACCCCCGGUAUCACAUAAAAAACCGGGAGGUCCAUUUACACAGCGAACCUGUCCACCCACCAGGAAAGCUUCCUCACCAAGGCCCUCCCCUCCCUCCUCCACCCCACCUCCCUCCAUUUCCGCUCGAAAAUGGGGGACUGGGAAUAAGCCACAGUAACAGCUUCCCCCCUCUCAGACCUGCAACUGUGCCUCCUCCCACUGCACCAAAACCACAGAAGACGAUUUUGAGGAAAUCGACCACUACAACAGUGUGAUGUAUGCCAUUUAAAAACACUUUGUUUUAUUUUGAUUUUUAUAUUAUAAACAUAAAAUAAUACGUAAUGAGCACUUUCUACUCAAGCAAUAAAAAGCCCAAAUAUAUUAAUCCUGCAUUCAGCAAAGUGGCAUAAAAUUCACCUGCUCCUUCAGGUCUUUAUUUGGAGGCAUGUCAGCUCAUUUUUCUCACUUCAGAUUCAUCAUUAUGACUUCUUGAGGCCAGAUCUAAUUUUGAAAUAACCAAGAACCUGUCCAUCUCAGAGCAGCAAAUCCCUCAACUUUGGAGCACAAAUGAUCACAGAUAUGGUCUGCAUAAAAUCAUCUGCCUCUAGUCUGACAGCCAUGAGCAGAGCCAUAGGGGCAAAAAAAAAAAAAAAAGCCACAGCCUUAAAUCUCUUCACUCAGAAAUUACCAAGAAGAUUUAAAAACAAAAUAGAAAAAAAAAGGUGAAAAGGACUAAAUAAGCAAGCCAACAACAAAAAACAUUUUAUUUCACCAUGAAAAUAAAUAUUCCCAGAUGUGAACCCACAAAAAUUUAUAUUCAGCAAUUAACCUAGUAAAUUGUAAAUUGAUUUUUCAUUUGGGAAGGUGAAAGUACAGAGAUAGGAGGUAUCUCUAAUCAGAACUACUUAGCAUUGCAAAUAUGUAGACAAAAAGAAAGUGAACAAACAGAGGAGCAUUGCAGCAAUGAACAGUGUUAGGGCAGAAUGUUGCUGUUAGCAGAGAAAGAGGAUGUUUGCCAUCUUGCGUACACACUUAAAGCCAUAAUGGAAUAACAGCAUUGUUGUCAAUUGCUUGAAAAGUUUCUGCAUUCAGUCCUUCACUCCACAUUGAUUGGGAGGGGGGGGGGAAUGGGGGAGGUCAGUUCUUACUGAUUACUUCUCAAUGCACUUCUAAUAUUUGCACUGUCACUUCCAUUCAGGGUAAUGAUGUGUGCUGUUAUUUGCACAGAUGGUCCCAUGAGUUUUGAGACCACAACAAGCAGUUUCUUGCAAGAGUCCAAAAAGGAAAUAUUUAAGAAUUCUGCAGACAUUGAUUUCUCUUCUAUAAAAAUCAGUUAUCUAAAAAAAAACCAAAAAAAACCUGAAAAGGUCUGGUCUCAUAUUGAAAAACAACUACAGAAUAAUAAUGAAAAAGCAUUAGUGUGGUCAAAUGAAUGAAAAAGGGAUCAAGAUUUUUUUUUAAAUGAAGAAAGAUCAUUUUAUAUCAUUAACAGCCAAGAAGUCAAAUAUAGUGAACUGUACACUAAACAUUUGUGUUGAACAUCUAUUUGUUCUCUUAAUUAAAAAAAAUCAUUUGUAAUUUGUAUUUGACAUAUAACAAUUUUUAUAGCCAUUUAUCUAUGCUUCAUGGGAAAAUGUA